UACGUAGGGUGCAAGCGUUGUCCGGAUUUAUUGGGCGUAAAGAGCUCGUAGGCGGUCUGUCGCGUCGGCUGUGAAAACCCGGAGCUCAACUCCGGGCCUGCAGUCGAUACGGGCAGACUGGAGUUCGGCAGGGGAGACUGGAAUUCCUGGUGUAGCGGUGAAAUGCGCAGAUAUCAGGAGGAACACCGGUGGCGAAGGCGGGUCUCUGGGCCGAUACUGACGCUGAGGAGCGAAAGCGUGGGGAGCGAACAGG
rnacentral:rRNA from 1 species